UACGUAGGGUGCAAGCGUUUGUCCGGAAUUAUUGGGCGUAAAGAGCUCGUAGGCGGUUUGUCGCGUCUGCUGUGAAAUCCCGAGGCUCAACCUCGGGUCUGCAGUGGGUACGGGCAGACUAGAGUGCGGUAGGGGAGAUUGGAACUCCUGGUGUAGCGGUGGAAUGCGCAGAUAUCAGGAAGAACACCGAUGGCGAAGGCAGAUCUCUGGGCCGUAACUGACGCUGGAGGAGCGAAAGCCAUGGGGAGCGAACAGG
rnacentral:rRNA from 1 species